AGUGAACGCUGGCGGUAGGCCUAACACAUGCAAGUCGAACGGCAGCACAGUAAGAGCUUGCUCUUACGGGUGGCGAGUGGCGGACGGGUGAGGAAUACAUCGGAAUCUACUUUUUCGUGGGGGAUAACGUAGGGAAACUUACGCUAAUACCGCAUACGACCUACGGGUGAAAGCAGGGGAUCUUCGCACCUUGCGCGAUUGAUUGAGCCGAUGUCGGAUUAGCUAGUUGGCGGGGUAAAGGCCCACCAAGGCGACGAUCCGUAGCUGGUCUGAGAGGAUGAUCAGCCACACUGGAACUGAGACACGGUCCAGACUCCUACGGGAGGCAGCAGUGGGGAAUAUUGGACAAUGGGCGCAAGCCUGAUCCAGCCAUACCGCGUGAGUGAAGAAGGCCUUCGGGUUGUAAAGCCCUUUUGUUGGGAAAGAAAAGCAGCAGGUUAAUACCCCGCUGUUCUGACGGUACCCAAAGAAUAAGCACCGGCUAACUUCGUG
rnacentral:rRNA from 1 species